rnacentral:lncRNA from 1 species
AAAGAAUUCUCAAAAUACCUCAGUGAACAAGAAUUAUAUAAUAAAUUUAAACAGGUUGCUGUAAUAUUUUUUUAUGCAUUUGUGAUCUUAUAUUGUUCAAAGUAAUAAAAACAUUGUACCCCAUAAACACUUGGUCAUACUUGUAUCUUAGCCUCAUUUUUCUUCCACUGAAUCAUUCUUUCCUCCAUUAGGCAUCGAGCAAGCCGUCUCCAAGCAUGAAACAUCAUUCACCUCAUUUCAGACAGACUCUGUGACAAAUUACAGCCUCCUCAGACAUUAAAAAUACAUUGAUCAAGAGAAGUUGUAAGACAUGGAAGAAAAAUUAAUCCAUACCCCUCUUAGAAAGAAAAGAAGAAACCACUUUUGAGAAUGACCUUUGGCUGAACAGACCAUCAAAUCUUAAAGGUACCUGCCAGUUUCGCAUGCCUUCUGAGGACACUGAAGAAUAUCUUCAUAAGAUGCUGGAGCAAAGUCUCAGAAGAGAACACAUGGAGACAACAGGUGAUAAAUAUAAAGGCCUUCGUGGGUUCUCAGAUACUAUUUACAAAAAGGUGACCUGUUGAGGCACAAUAAAUUACAGCAUCGUUUUUCAUCUUCUGUAAGUUUUCAUGAACAACUCUUUUAAUGUGUCUGAAUGCUUUAAAUCUCUAGCAA